rnacentral:snRNA from 1 species
AGAUGAAUUUUUUAGAAAUUU